rnacentral:snRNA from 1 species
AGAGUUAUAGAGAAGAGAGAU